GCUGUGGCUCAGUGCUGGAGAAUCUGCUUUGCAUGAAGAAGACCCCAAGUUCAAUCCCUGGCAUCUCCA